rnacentral:misc_RNA from 1 species
GAUGAAGAACGUAGCGAAAUGCGAUAAGUAAUGUGAAUUGCAGAAUUCAGUGAAUCAUCGAAUCUUUGAACGCACAUUGCGCCCAUUAGUAUUCUAGUGGGCAUGCCUGUUCGAGCGUUAUUUCAACCCUUAAGCCUAGCUUAGUAUUGGGAAUCGACUUUACUGUCGUUCCUCAAAUUCAACGGCGGAUUUAUAGCAAUCUCUGAACGUAGUAAUUUUUUUUCUCGUUUUUGAAAUACUAUAAACCUCAGCCGCUAAACCCCCAAUUUCUUAUGGUUGACCUCGGAUCAGGUAGGAAUACCCGCUGAACUUAAGCAUAUCAAUAAGCGGAGGA